rnacentral:rRNA from 1 species
GACGAACGCUGGCGGCGUGCUUAACACAUGCAAGUCGAACGGAAAGGCCCUGCUUUUGUGGGGUGCUCGAGUGGCGAACGGGUGAGUAACACGUGAGUAACCUGCCCUUGACUUUGGGAUAACUUCAGGAAACUGGGGCUAAUACCGGAUAGGAGCUCCUGCUGCAUGGUGGGGGUUGGAAAGUUUCGGCGGUUGGGGCUGGACUCGCGGCUUAUCAGCUUGUUGGUGGGGUAGUGGCUUACCAAGGCUUUGACGGGUAGCCGGCCUGAGAGGGUGACCGGCCACAUUGGGACUGGGAUACGGCCCAGACUCCUACGGGAGGCAGCAGUGGGGAAUAUUGCACAAUGGGCGGAAGCCUGAUGCAGCAACGCCGCGUGCGGGAUGACGGCCUUCGGGUUGUAAACCGCUUUCGCCUGUGACGAAGCGUGAGUGACGGUAAUGGGUAAAGAAGCACCGGCUAACUACGUG